rnacentral:hammerhead_ribozyme from 1 species
AUCUAGCUGACGAGUCACAAACAGGACGAAACGCGCGUCCUGGAU